GUGGGGAAUAUUGGACAAUGGGCGCAAGCCUGAUCCAGCCAUGCCGCGUGAGUGAUGAAGGCCUUAGGGUUGUAAAGCUCUUUCAGCUGGGAAGAUAAUGACGGUACCAGCAGAAGAAGCCCCGGCUAACUCCGUGCCAGCAGCCGCGGUAAUACGGAGGGGGCUAGCGUUGUUCGGAAUUACUGGGCGUAAAGCGCACGUAGGCGGAUCAGAAAGUCAGAGGUGAAAUCCCAGGGCUCAACCUUGGAACUGCCUUUGAAACUCCUGGUCUUGAGGUCGAGAGAGGUGAGUGGAAUUCCGAGUGUAGAGGUGAAAUUCGUAGAUAUUCGGAGGAACACCAGUGGCGAAGGCGGCUCACUGGCUCGAUACUGACGCUGAGGUGCGAAAGCGUGGGGAGCAAACAGGAUUAGAUACCCGAGUAGUCC
rnacentral:rRNA from 1 species